rnacentral:rRNA from 1 species
ACGCUUGUCUCAAAGAUUAAGCCAUGCAUGUCUAAGUACAUACCUUAGCACGGUGAAACCGCGAAUGGCUCAUUAAAUCAGUUAUGGUUCCUUAGAUCGUUCAUACUACAUGGAUAACUGUGGUAAUUCUAGAGCUAAUACAUGCAAAAAGCUCCGACCGUAUGGGAAGAGCGCUUUUAUUAGACCAAAACCAAUGGGGUCGAAAGAUCCCUUUGUAUGGUGACUCUGGAUAACUUUGUGCUGAUCGCAUGGCCUAGAGCCGGCGACGUAUCUUUCAAGUGUCUGCCCUAUCAACUUUCGAUGGUAAGCGAUUUGCCUACCAUGGUUGUAACGGGUAACGGGGAAUCAGGGUUCGAUUCCGGAGAGGGAGCAUGAGAAACGGCUACCACAUCUACGGAAGGCAGCAGGCGCGCAAAUUACCCACUCCUAGAACGGGGAGGUAGUGACGAAAAAUAACAAUACCGGACUCAAUGAGGCUCGGUAAUUGAAAUGAGUACAGUUUAAAACCCUUAACGAGGAUCUAUUGGAGGGCAAGUCUGGUGCCAGCAGCCGCGGUAAUUCCAGCUCCAAUAGCGUAUAUUAAAGUUGUUGCAGUUAAAAAGCUCGUAGUUGGAUCUCGGGUACUAGCAUGUGGUACGCUUUUUUGCCGUUACUACAUGUCUGGUCCUAAUCAACCGGUUGGCCGUUGAUGCCCUUUAUUGGGUGUUUUCGGUAGCCGGUACGUUUACUUUGAGAAAAUUAGAGUGCUUAAAGC